rnacentral:misc_RNA from 1 species
GAAAUGCGAUAAGUAAUGUGAAUUGCAGAAUUCAGUGAAUCAUCGAAUCUUUGAACGCACCUUGCGCUCCUUGGUAUUCCUUGGAGCAUGCCUGUUUGAGUAUCAUGAAAUCUUCAAAGUAAAUCUUUUGUUAACUCAAUUGGUUUCUACUUUGGUAUUGGAGGUCUUUGCAGCUUCACACCUGCUCCUCUUUGUUCAUUAGCUGGAUAUCAGUGUUAUGCUUGGUUCCACUCGGCGUGAUAAGUUAUCUAUCGCUGAGGACACUGUAAAAGGUGGCCAAGGUAAAUGCAGAUGAACCGCUUCUAAUAGUCCAUUGACUUGGACAAUACUUUUAUGAUCUGAUCUCAAAUCAGGUAGGACUACCAGCUGAACUUAAGC